UCUGCCAAAAAACAAGAGAGGCGAUCAGGGCAAAUCCCAGAGCGCGCUUGCCAUCCUCCUCGUUCUGAUCCUUGCAAUGAAGAAGAAGAGGAAGUACUCAGCAGCUGCAGCAGCACCGAUGGGCGGAGACGCCGCCUCGGAUACCGACUGCUACGAUGUGUUCCUGAGUUCCAGUGGACUCUACACUUGCUAUUUUUUCGCCGAAUCCCUGUACCGGAGCUUGGUUGAUGCCGGGAUCCGCGUCUUCGGAGACAACGGUGUAUUUCGAAUCGGUAAAGAAAUUGGCGAGGAGAUUCUGAGAGCGAUCGACGGGGCCAAGAUCUGCAUCCCCAUCUUCUCCGAAGACUACGCUUCCAAUGCGCGGUGUCUCCGGGAGCUUGCGGCAAUGGUGGACAGCAAGGCCAAAUCGGGUGGUGGGAAAACGAUCUUCCCCAUGUUCUACAACGUGGAACCUUGUGAUGUUAGGCUCGAAACCCCUCGGUACCGCCGUACUCUAUCGAUGCACGAGAAGAGAUACGGGUCCAAGGAAGUAAGCGCGUGGGAAGAUGCUCUUAAACAGGUUGCUUCAUUACCUGGAUGGGUCACGGGAUAUAGCAGCUCGAUUGACGACAUGAGGAAACUCGUUGAAGCAAUCACGGUCAAGCUGAAGGAGGUUCGAAAGAAAGAUGAAGCAAAAGGACCAGUGGUACUUAUUGGCAAGUCAUAUAGGGAGAGCCCUGUGGUAAUUGCCAAACAAGUGGAGGACAUGAUGGACUUACUUGAUUUAGAAGUCAGUGAUGUACGAAUAGUUGGAAUCUGGGGGGUGGGUGGGGUUGGCAAGACGACUCUUGCCAAGGUCAUUUAUGAGCAAAUUUCCUCUCAUUUCGACGGUGGUAGUUUCCUUGCAGAUAUUGGGGCAACAGUGAAACAACUUGGAGGUGUUCGGCGUUUGCAAAGCAAGUUGAUGUCUGAUAUCCUAAACCGAGAGUACGAUGUUGAUCAAGUUGCGAAAGGAAUCGACUUUUUUAAAGGAAUAUUGCAGAAUAUGAAAGUCCUAAUUGUUCUUGAUGAUGUGGAGGUACAGUCGCAUCUCCACGAAAUUGUUGGAGAGAAGUUUGAUUGGUUUGGUUAUGGAUCUAGGAUAAUAGUCACCACUAGUAUCCAAUCUGUUCUUCCAGAAUUCAUACCUCGAGGGUUGGCUCAUGUUUACGGUAUCAACGUGAUGAAUAAUGAUCAAGCUCUUGAGCUUUUGAGAAAGCAUGCACUGCCAAGAGAAUUUUCAAUUCUAUAUCUUGAUGAAAUUGCAAAAGGUAUAAUCAACUCUGUGAAUGGGAUCCCAUUACUUGUUGAAGUAAUUGGUUCACUCUUGCAUGAAAAAGGAGAAGAAGAACUGGCUGCGCUUUGUGAGCUAAUUUUGCAAUCUGGCCAGGAUAUUGAAAAGAUUUUGAUGGUUAGUUAUGAAGAAUUGAGCAAAGAGCAAAAGGAGAUAUUUCUUGAUAUUGCAUGCCUCCCUGCUGAUGUGGAUGGUCGAAUUGCUUCAUUUAUGUGGCAUAAUCCCAAUUUUCCCCCCUCCGAUGGAGUUGUUGCGCUCCAUGUCAUGUCCCUGGUAAAAAUUGGAAAAGAUAAUGAACUAGGGAUGCACAGGCUGUUAAGGGAGUUCGGCCAACAAAUCAUACGAAAAGAGGAUGAUCUACAUCCAGGAACGCGAGGAAGGUUAUGCAAUUUGGAAUUGGCCUGGAAAACGGAGAAGAUGGAGGGGACAGACCACCUCAACUUUGAUGCGAGAGAUUUUAAGAGCAUGCCAAACAUAAGGUUUCUUAUCUUGGAUUGUGCAAAAGUUGUUGGUGAUUUUGCCAAUGUUUUUCCAAAUUUGAAGUGGCUUCAAUGGCAAGGAUGCACCAGAGAUUUUGAAGCUACUAAUUUUCAUGUCGAGAAAUUAGUCAUUCUUGAUCUAUCAUGGAGCAAAGUCACUGAAGACUGGGGAGGUUGGAGAAAAAUCAAGAUGCCGCAGUUGAAAGUCUUGAAUCUUACUGGUUGUGCUGACCUAUUGAUAAGCCCCGACUUGUCCUCUUUCCCAGACUUGGAGAUAUUGAUUCUCGAAGGAUGUUCUCGACUAAUGAAGUUAGAUCCUUCCAUCCGUCAUUUAAAACGCUUAACUACCUUAAAUUUGAGGUUCUGCGAUGAACUCAAUAUGUUGCCAAUUGAACUGGGUCACAUGAAAGCUCUUAAGGAGCUCCUUAUUGAUGGGACUUCCGUGCAAGAAAUUCCUAUGUCAAUGGGUUACAUGGAGAAACUUGAGGUUUUUAGUGCCUCCAACUGUCUCCGAUUAAGUCACCUGCCUGAUUCAGUUGGUGACUUGACAGCUCUUUCAGAACUCUCACUGGAAAAUGCAGAAAUUACUCAAAUCCCUGACUCAGUUGCAAAGCUGGUGAAACUUCAGAUCCUGUCUCUAAAGGAUUGUCGUUGGAUAGGAAGACUUCCGGAUUCAAUUCGCAAUUUGGGAGACUCAUUAGAGGAGUUGGAUAUAACAGGGACAUGCAUAUCUAAAUUGCCCAAUUCAAUUACUUGCUUGGGGCAUUUAAAAGUGUUAAAAAUAGAUUCUUGCUUAAUUAGAGAAUUGCCUAGAGAAAUUGGAAAUUUGGUCAACCUUGAAGAGUUACAUGCUUCCCAUUGUAAGAGUUUGAAGGGAGCCAUUCCAACUGCUAUUAAGAGUCUAGAUCGUCUGAGGAUACUGAGAUUGGGACAUUCCAUUAUCUCUGGCAUUCCUUCGGAAAUUGGAAGUCUUUCUUGUCUUCAGACUCUUGAUUUACUUCAAUGCAACCAGAUUCAAGCGCUGCCAGAGCUUCCGUCCAGUUUAACUUGUCUACGUGUAAGUUCUGAAAGGAUGAAGACCUUGCCAGAUCUUAAGAAUUUAGUGAAGUUGGAGGAGAUGUGUCUGGGUGAUAAAGAUCCUAAGGAGCUCAUAUGUCCCUCAACACGGAUGAAGCCAACAUCCAGAUCGAGAGAUCUCUUAGUUGUGCCCAUAGUACUCUCAAAACUGAAGAUGUUAGAGUUGUCUCAUUCUCGAAUCAGGGAACUGAAACUUGGGCAUGAUUGCUGCUCAUGUACACAUCUUAAGAAGCUAGUUCUAUCUGGUGUGAAUCUUGAAAUAGUGCCGGAACUUCCCUUGUCAUUGUCCGUUUUAUCUAUUCGACGUUGUUUGUCUUUGAGGCAAUUGCCAGCAGUUCACCAUCUGAGGAAACUAUCAGAACUAAAUCUCAUCCAAUCUGUGGUAGAAGAGAUUAAGGGGCUUCAAGGACUUACUGCUCUGGAAAUCUUGAAUAUAACGCACUGUGAAAUACGUAAUCUCAAUGGGCUUGACCAAUUAAGAGAUUUACGAAGUUUGAUUUUGUUGGACUGUGAUUCACUUGGUGGAUUGCCCGAUAUAUCAAACUUGAAGAUGUUGAAUGUCCUGGUAGUCCAAAGAUGCAGGAUGAUCCCUGAUGUUAAAGGCCUCAUGGAGUUAACCUCCUUGGAAGUGCUGCGUGUUAGCGAAUGCGAGGCAGAAAGCACACAGCAAGUACAGGAUGCAUUAAAGCUCGUGAUGGAGCGUUCAAUAAACAGUUGAUGUCCUGUGCUCCUGGAGUGGACACAAUCAAACCAUACAGCUGUGGAGGGCAGCAUCAUUGAAGUCCACUGCGAAAUUGAGUUGGCAAACUGGCUCCAAAAUUGCUGGAGCUGUAAUUGGAAAUUUGGCACCAAAAGUUUUUAAAGACCUCCAUCUGUCAAAGUGGAACCAAGUGCCCUAAACAUGCACCCUUGCACGACCUGAAAGGUGAUCAGAUCCUUCAUACUCCUUCCUCUUUUACCAACCCAUCUUUCUGUCCAGUCUCUCUCAUUCGACUGGUGACUUAGUCAUUUCUGUAAAUUCGGAAUGAUCUAACUCCAAAGAGAUCUGGAAAAUCUGGAGGCAUUGCAAGGAAUUUUCUUUUGUCAAAGGCAUGUCCAAUUCUUAGAUGAGGUUCAGAUUAAUCUGAGAGGCAGCACUAUACAGAUUUUAGUCUUUAAACUAGCCCAGAGUGGAUGUCUAUUACAGCUGGGGAACCCGAACACAUGAGUUCCAUCAUGCUGGGACUCACAUUUGUAUCGAGAACAUUUCAAUUGUUUUCUUGCUGAAGUAAUGCGUGUGACACACCCCAGAUGACAAGGAUGACCCUACUUAAAUGAAAGCAUUGUCACAAUAACUACCAAGAGGGACAUUUAUCUCAAAACACAGAUGGCAGAGAGGGCAAGCUGGUUAGAAAGGAUCUAGUAGUGAUUAUAAGUGGUUAUUGAUUUCGGCUUCUUACCUCAUCUUGGUUUAAGAUCAUCAAUAGGUUGUUUUAGGUAACUUUUGUUUAGCUUGAGCUUUUUGAGUUGGUAUUGGACAUUGGUGCACAAUUUUGUUGAUCCUA